rnacentral:rRNA from 1 species
AUACGGAGGAUCCGAGCGUUAUCCGGAUUUAUUGGGUUUAAAGGGUGCGCAGGCGGCCAUUUAAGUCAGCGGUUAAAUCGUGGGGCUCCACCCCAUUCUGCCGUUGAUACUGGGUGGCUUGAUUGCGGUCGAGGUUGGCGGAAUUCGUUGUGUAGCGGUGAAAUGCAUAGAUAUGACGAAGAACACCGAUUGCGUAGGCAGCUGACCAGACCGCAAAUGACGCUCAUGCACGAAAGUGCGGGGAUCGAACAGGAUUAGAUACCCUGGUAGUCCGCACAAUAAACGAUGAAUACUUGUUUUCGGCGAUAUAAUGUCGGAGGCAAAGCGAAAGCGAUAAGUAUUCCACCUGGGGAGUACGCCGGCAACGGUGAAACUCAAAUGAAUUGGCGGGG